rnacentral:tRNA from 1 species
GGGGUUGUGGCUCAGUGGUAGAGCGCUCUCCUAAACAUGUGAGGCCCUGGGUUUGAUCCUCAGCACCACA